GUCCUUGUCGAUUAGUGGUUAAAUCAUCUCGUUGUGGUUGAACUGGCUCCGAGAAGCCGGAAGUUCGAAUCCUCCCUGGGACA